GAUGAACGCUGGCGGCGUGCCUAAUACAUGCAAGUCGAGCGAACGGACGAGGAGCUUGCUUCUCUGAUGUUAGCGGCGGACGGGUGAGUAACACGUGGAUAACCUACCUAUAAGACUGGGAUAACUUCGGAACACCGGAGCUAAUACCGUAUAAUAUUUUGAACCGCAUUGUUCAAAAGUGAAAGACGGUCUUGCUGUCACUUCUCGAUGGUUCCGCGCUGCAUUAGCUAGUUGGUAAGGUAACGGCUUACCAAGGCAACGAUGCCUAGCCGAACGGCGGGGGGGAUCGGCCACACGGGAGGUGAGACGCGGUCCAGAGGCCUACGGUAGGCAGCAGUAGGGAAUCUUCCGCAGUGGGCGAAAGCCUGACGGAGCAACGGCGCGUGAGUGAUGAAGGUCUUCGGAUCGGAAAACUCUGUUAUUAGGGAAGAACAUAUGUGUAAGUAACUGUGCACAUCUUGACGGUACCUAAUCAGAAAGCCACGGCUAACUACGUG
rnacentral:rRNA from 1 species